CCGCGUGUAUGUGUGUGUGUGUGAUCUCAGUGCUAUGUCUCCGUCCUGGGUGAGGUCUAAUAAUAGAGGAGACAGUCUGCUCCUUUAAGACCCUUCUUGUUGCAUAUUCUACAAAAUAUAACCUAUUGUAAGAAAAUGGUCAUCAAAGUAUUCCUCGCCUCUUCAUCGGGAUCCACAGCGAUCAAGAAGAAGCAGCAAGAUGUGGUCGCCUUCUUGGAGGCGCUUAAAGUGGACUACACUGAGCUGGACAUCGCCUGCAGCGAAGAGAACCGCAUGUGGAUGAGGCAGAACGUUCCUCAGGACAAGAAGCCUGCCAACGGCAUCCCCCUCCCGCCACAGAUUUUUAAUGAAGAGAGUUACUGUGGGGAUUAUGAGACUUUCUUCGAUGCUAAGGAGGACAACUCGGUGUAUACCUUCUUGGGGCUGCCCCCUCCCCCUGGCUCAAAGGAAGCAGUUCAGGCUGAGGAGGAGCACAUAAUGCAGAACGGGACCCAUGUUGAGGAAAACCCUGAUGACUCAGUAGAGGUUCCAGUGGAGGAGCGUAAUGGUGAUGCACACGGAGAUAAGGACCAGGGAGAGGCAGCUGAUGAGGAGGAAGGUGAGGGUGGCAAAGCAGGUGAUGAAGCCACCGAAGGAGAAACAGCAGUAGACGAGGCCCCUGCUGAGGAGGAGGAGGAAGGGGAGGAGGCAGUGGAAGAAACAGAAGAGGUCACAGAAGACACACAGGCUCAAGCAGAAGAGGAAGAAGAACAGUUGGGGAAUUUACUUGUUGUUCAAAUACAUCCAUCACCUAACCGAUUCCACUCCAUUCAAAGAAAUCAUUGUCAGAGGUGGAAGAGGAUUUGCAGUCAGAGGAGGAAGAAGAGCUACGGCAGCUUGAGGAAGAAGAAGAAGCUGAAGUAGAAGAGGGAGAAGAAGAAGACUUGGAAGACACACAGGAGUAAGAGGCUGAGUAAACCAAGUGGACAAUGAUGAUGCCUUGCUACUGUCCAGCCCGAAGGAGCCCCUUGUUCCGUCUCGCCCUGACGCUCGACGCCCCCCACCCCGCCUCCCUUCCGUGACCCGUCCGAUGGCCCCUCUACCAAUGCUUCAUUGGAACCUUCUGGAAACAGUUGGUCACAUGCUUGAAGGAGCCAUUCAAA